GAUGAACGCUGGCGGCGUGCCUAAUACAUGCAAGUAGAACGCUGAAGGAGGAGCUUGCUCUUCUGGAUGAGUUGCGAACGGGCGAGUAACGCGUAGGUAACCUGCCUGGUAGCGGGGUAUAACUAUUGGAAACGAUAGCUAAUACCGCAUGACAACAGUUAUUGCAUGAUAACUGUUUAAAAGGGGCAACUGCUCCACUACCAGAUGGACCUGCGUUGUAUUAGCUAGUUGGUGAGGUAACGGCUCACCAAGGCGACGAUACAUAGCCGAACUGAGAGGGUGAUCGGCCAAACUGGGAAUGAGACAAGGCCCAGACUCCUAAGGGAGGCAGCAGUAGGGAAUCUUCGGAAAUGGACGGAAGGCUGACCGAGCAACGCCGGGUGAGUGAAGAAGGGUUUCGGAGCGGAAAGCUCUGUUGUAAGAGAAGAAAGAGUGGGAGAGUGGAAAGUUCACACUGUGACGGUAUCUUACCAGAAAGGGACGGCUAACUACGUG
rnacentral:rRNA from 1 species